UACAGAGGGUGCAAGCGUUGUUCGGAAUCAUUGGGCGUAAAGCGCACGUAGGCGGCUUUGCAAGUCGGGUGUGAAAGCCUGGGGCUCAACCCCAGAAGUGCAUUCGAAACUGCAGAGCUUGAGUCUUGGAGAGGGCAGUGGAAUUCCGAGUGUAGAGGUGAAAUUCGUAGAUAUUCGGAGGAACACCAGUGGCGAAGGCGACUGCCUGGACAAAGACUGACGCUGAGGUGUGAAAGCGUGGGGAGCAAACAGG
rnacentral:rRNA from 1 species